rnacentral:rRNA from 1 species
CAGUCGCCGCGGGAAUACGUAGGGUGCAAGCGUUAAUCGGAAUUACUGGGCGUAAAGCGUGCGCAGGCGGUUUGUUAAGACAGAUGUGAAAUCCCCGGGCUCAACCCGAAGCCUGCACGAGAAACUACCGGGCUUGAGUAUUGGAGAGGUGAGUGGAAUUUCCGGUGUAGCGGUGAAAUGCGUAGAUAUCGGAGGGAACACCUGUGGCGAAAGCGGCUCACUGGACAAUAACUGACGCUGAUGCACGAAAGCUAGGGGAGCAAACAGGAUUAGAUACCCCGGUAGUCCCUGUCUCUUAUAC